rnacentral:rRNA from 1 species
UACGGAGGUGGCAAGCGUUGUUCGGAAUUACUGGGGGUAAAGGGCGCGUAGGCGGCAAGGCAAGUCAGGUGUGAAAGCCCCGAGCUUAACUCGGGAAUUGCAUCUGAAACUGCUGUGCUUGAGUUCUGGAGGGGGUAGUGGAAUUCCCAGUGUAGCGGUGAAAUGCGUAGAGAUGUGGAGGAACACCGAUGGCGAAGGCAGCCUUCUGGGCCAACACUGACGCUCAUGCACGAAAGCGUGGGGAGCAAACAGG